rnacentral:rRNA from 1 species
CGAUAGAUCAUAGUGCCUGGAAUGGCUUAUGGUCCAAACAGUUUACUGCCAUGGGAUGGGACUGCGGCCUAUCAGCUUGUUGGUGAGGUAAUGGCCCACCAAGGCGAUUACAGGUACGGGCUCUGAGAGGAGAAGCCCGGAGAUGGGUACUGAGACACGGACCCAGGCCCUAUGGGGCGCAGUAGGCGAGAAACCUUAGCAAUGUGCGAAAGCACGACUGGGUCAGUCCGAGUGAUUCCUGAUAAAGGAGUCUUUUGCCUGUCCUAAAAACACAGGUUAAUAAGGGGUGGGCAAGUCUGGUGUCAGCCGCCGCGGUAAUACCAGCACCUCGAGUGGUCAGGACGUUUAUUGGGCCUGAAGCAUCCGUAGCCGGCGCUGCAAGUCUUCGGUUAAAUCCACCUGCUCAACAGAUGGGCUGCUGGAGAUACUACAGCGCUAGGGAGUGGGAGAGGCAGACGGUAUUCAGUGGGUAGGGGUAAAAUCCUCUGAUCCAUUGAGGACCACCAGUGGCGAAGGCGGUCUGCCAGAACACGUUCGACGGUGAGGGAUGAAAGCUGGGGGGAGCAAACCGGAUUAGAUACCCGGGUAGUCCCAGCUGUA